GUAAACCCGAUGCCGGGAAGAAGUAUCCGGGUAUCGGCCUUGCAGAGAGCCGGUGGACGCUGCGAACCGGUAGGGAUGCCCGGAGAAGUCCGUCCCGAAGGGGUCGUGCCGAACGGCAGUAGGCACGGACGGGUCAAGCCCGUUACAGCUCAAGAGGGGGCCUUGCCGGCCAAAAAGGGUGGCAACGCGGGAGCAAAACCUCUCGUCCCUUAC
rnacentral:ncRNA from 1 species